rnacentral:rRNA from 1 species
GACCGGGCUUCAAUAUUUAAACAAACAAAACAAACAUAUUAUGCACUAUGUAACUUAUGCUGGUCUAUAUGCUAUAGUGUUGCACUGCAUGCAAUUUGGGAUACUUUCUGUUAUUCUUGUAUAAUGUGUUUAUUUUGUGCUUCAUCGUCGUCUUCGCUUAGUUACCUUAUAAA